rnacentral:rRNA from 1 species
CCUACGGGUGGCAGCAGUGGGGGAUAUUGCACAAUGGGGGAAACCCUGAUGCAGCGACGCCGCGUGUGGGAAGACGGUCCUCUGGAUUGUAAACCACUGUCCCCAGGGACGAAAAUGCCGGUACCUGGGGAGGAAGCUCCGGCUAACUACGUGCCAGCAGCCGCGGUAAUACGUAGGGAGCGAGCGUUGUCCGGAAUUACUGGGUGUAAAGGGAGCGUAGGCGGGGAUGCAAGUUGGGUGUCAAAACUACGGGCUCAACUGGUAGUCGCACUCGAAACUGCAGCUCUUGAGUGAAGUAGAGGCAGGCGGAAUUCCUAGUGUAGCGGUGAAAUGCGUAGAUAUUAGGAAGAACACCAGUGGCGAAGGCGGCCUGCUGGGCUUCGACUGACGCUGAGGCUCGAAAGUGUGGGGAGCAAACAGGAUUAGAUACCCUAGUAGUC